rnacentral:rRNA from 1 species
AUUGAACGCUAGCGGGAUGCCUUACACAUGCAAGUCGAACGAGUGGCGGACGGGUGAGUAAUAUAUCGGAACGUGCCCAGUGGCGGGGGAUAACUACUCGAAACAGUGGCUAAUACCGCAUACUAUUGGAGCGGCCGAUAUCGGAUUAGCUAGUUGGUGGGGUAACGGCUCACCUAGGCGACGAUCCGUAGCUGGUUUGAGAGGAUGACCAGCCACACUGGGACUGAGACACGGCCAAGACUCCUACGGGAGGCAGCAGUGGGGAAUAUUGGACAAUGGGGGAAAGCCUGAUCCAGCCAUGCCGCGUGUAUGAGAAGGCCUUCGGGUUGUAAAGUACUUUGAGCAGGGAAGCGGUAUCUGCAGAAUAAGCACCGGCUAACUACGUGCCAGCAGCCGCGGUAAUUC